CCUACGGGUGGCAGCAGUGAGGAAUAUUGGUCAAUGGGCGCAGGCCUGAACCAGCCAAGUCGCGUGAGGGAAGACUGCCCUAUGGGUUGUAAACCUCUUUUAUAAGGGAAGAAUAAUGACUACGUGUAGUCAGAUGCCCGUACCUUAUGAAUAAGCAUCGGCUAACUCCGUGCCAGCAGCCGCGGUAAUACGGAGGAUCCGAGCGUUAUCCGGAUUUAUUGGGGUUAAAGGGAGCGUAGGUGGAUUGUUAAGUCAGUUGUGAAAGUUUGCGGCUCAACCGUAAAAUUGCAGUUGAAACUGGCAGUCUUGAGUACAGUAGAGGUGGGCGGAAUUCGUGGUGUAGCGGUGAAAUGCUUAGAUAUCACGAAGAACUCCGAUUGCGAAGGCAGUUCACUGGACUGCAACUGACACUGAGGCUCGAAAGUGUGGGUAUCAAACAGGAUUAGAUACCCGUGUAGUC
rnacentral:rRNA from 1 species